rnacentral:rRNA from 1 species
GGGAUCUUUUGAACUCUAGAGAUAGAGCUUCCCCUUCGGGGGCAAAGUGACAGGUGGUGCAUGGUUGUCGUCAGCUCGUGUCGUGAGAUGUUGGGUUAAGUCCCGCAACGAGCGCAACCCUUAUUGUUAGUUGCCAUCAUUCAGUUGGGCACUCUAGCAAGACUGCCGGUGACAAACCGGAGGAAGGUGGGGAUGACGUCAAAUCAUCAUGCCCCUUAUGACCUGGGCUACACACGUGCUACAAUGGGAAGUACAACGAGUUGCGAAGUCGCGAGGCUAAGCUAAUCUCUUAAAGCUUCUCUCAGUUCGGAUUGCAGGCUGCAACUCGCCUGCAUGAAGCCGGAAUCGCUAGUAAUCGCGGAUCAGCACGCCGCGGUGAAUACGUUCCCGGGUCUUGUACACACCGAG